rnacentral:rRNA from 1 species
CCGCCUGGGGAGUACGGCCGCAAGGUUAAAACUCAAAUGAAUUGACGGGGGCCCGCACAAGCGGUGGAGCAUGUGGUUUAAUUCGAUGCAACGCGAAGAACCUUACCUGGUCUUGACAUCCACAGAACUUUCCAGAGAUGGAUUUGUGCCUUCGGGAACUGUGAGACAGGUGCUGCAUGGCUGUCGUCAGCUCGUGUUGUGAAAUGUUGGGUUAAGUCCCGCAACGAGCGCAACCCUUAUCCUUUGUUGCCAGCGAUUAGGUCGGGAACUCA